rnacentral:rRNA from 1 species
GUAGGUGGCAAGCGUUGUCCGGAAUUAUUGGGCGUAAAGUGCGCGCAGGUGGGUCUUUAAGUCUGAUGUGAAAGCCCCCGGGCUCAACCGGGGAGGGUCAUUGGAAACUGGGGAACUUGAGUGCAGGAGAGGAAAGUGGAAUUCCACGUGUAGCGGUGAAAUGCGUAGAUAUGUGGAGGAACACCAGUGGCGAAGGCGACUUUCUGGCCUGUAACUGACACUGAGGCGCGAAAGCGUGGGGAGCAAACAGGAUUAGAUACCCUGGUAGUCCACGCCGUAAACGAUGAGUGCUAAGUGUUGGGGGGUUUCCGCCCCUCAGUGCUGCAGCUAACGCAUUAAGCACUCCGCCUGGGGAGUACGGUCGCAAGACUG